GCAGUAGCCGCGGUAAUACGAAGGGGGCUAGCGUUGCUCGGAUUUACUGGGCGUAAAGGGUGCGCAGGCGGUUCGUUAAGACAGAUGUGAAAUCCCCGGGCUUAACCUGGGAACUGCAUUUGUGACUGGCGAGCUAGAGUAUGGCAGAGGGGGGUAGAAUUCCACGUGUAGCAGUGAAAUGCGUAGAGAUGUGGAGGAAUACCGAUGGCGAAGGCAGCCCCCUGGGCCAAUACUGACGCUCAUGCACGAAAGCGUGGGGAGCAAACAGGAUUAGAUACCCGCGUAGUCCCUGUCUCUUAUAC
rnacentral:rRNA from 1 species